UCUACGGGAGGCAGCAGUGGGGAAUAUUGCACAAUGGGGGAAACCCUGAUGCAGCGACGCCGCGUGAGUGAAGAAGUAUUUCGGUAUGUAAAGCUCUAUCAGCAGGGAAGAAAAUGACGGUACCUGACUAAGAAGCCCCGGCUAACUACGUGCCAGCAGCCGCGGUAAUACGGAGGGUGCGAGCGUUAAUCGGAAUUACUGGGCGUAAAGCGCUCGUAGGCGGUAUGUCAAGUCAAGGGUGAAAUCCCCGCGCUCAACGUGGGAACUGCCUUUGAAACUGGCAAACUGGAGUGUGUGAGAGGAUA
rnacentral:rRNA from 1 species